AACGUAGGGGGCUAGCGUUGUUCGGAAUUACUGGGCGUAAAGCGCGUGUAGGCGGUUUGGUAAGUCAGAAGUGAAAUCCCUCGGCUCAACCGAGGAACUGCUUUUGAAACUACCGAACUUGAGUAUGGGCGGGGAGAGCGGAAUUCCCGGUGUAGCGGUGAAAUGCGUAGAUAUCGGGAAGAACACCAGUGGCGAAGGCGGCUCUCUGGACCAUCACUGACGCUGAGACGCGAAAGCGUGGGGAG
rnacentral:rRNA from 1 species